rnacentral:rRNA from 1 species
UCAAAUCAUCAUGCCCCUUAUGCUUAGGGCUACACACGUGCUACAAUGGGUAGUACAGAGGGUUGCCAAGCCGUAAGGUGGAGCUAAUCCCUUAAAGCUACUCUCAGUUCGGAUUGUAGGCUGAAACUCGCCUACAUGAAGCUGGAGUUACUAGUAAUCGCAGAUCAGAAUGCUGCGGUGAAUGCGUUCCCGGGUCUUGUACACACCGCCCGUCACACCACGGGAGUUGGAGACGCCCGAAGCCGAUUAUCUAACCUUUUGGAAGAAGUCGGCGAAGGUGGAAUCAAUAACUGGGGUGAAGUCGUAACAAGGUAGCCGUAUCGGAAGGUGCGGCUGGAUCACCUCCUUUCUAAGGAGA